rnacentral:rRNA from 1 species
AUGGCGCCCCAGGCCCCGGUCUUGGAGAUCAUCGACGACGACGACGACGACGGCGUCGGCGUGGCCGCCUCCCCUCCCGCGCUCCUCUCGGGCAGGCGCUGCCGCGCCACUCCCCCGACCGCGGCAGCCGACGACUCCCCGGACUUCCUCGGGGCCUUCUCCCCCUCCCCGCCGGCCCCGAAGCGGCGCGCCACUCCCUCGGCCGCGGCGGCCCUCGACUCCCCGGACUGGCUCGGGGCCUCCUCCCCCCCCCCGCCCGCCCCGAAGAGGCGCGCCGCUCCCUCGCCCGCGGCGGCCCUCGACUCUCUCGACUUCCUCGACGCCUUCACCCCCUCCCCGACCGUCCCGAAGCGGCGCGCCCCCGCGUCCGCGACCCCGAUCGUACUCGACGACGACACCCCUCCCCCGCCGAGGCGGCGCCCGUCCCCGACGCCGAUCCUGCUCCUCGACGACACGCCUCCCUCGCCGUUCGCUCCGGAGAUCCCGGACGUUGCUGUUGCGGCGACACCACCAGCGUACGCCACCCCGCCCUCGACCGGGCCGCCGUCCAGCGUCCCAGGCUCCUCUUCGACUGGCCGCGCGCAUGAUUCGUCUGGAGCUUCUUGUCCAAUAUCUCUGGACAGUGAUGAUGAGUUGGAUGACUUUGGGACCAUAGAGCCAUUGGCCAAGUUGAUUUUACCCUGUGGAAAUUCUUCGCCGCAAGAAGAGGAUGACCACGACAUGGAAGAGAAUGCACGACCAAUCAAAGAAAGAAAGGGACGGAAGAGACUAAGUAAAGAAGAGAAAGGCAAAAUGAUUGAAGAGAAAAAACGGCAGCGAGAGGAAAAAAGGAUGCAAAAAGAAGCUGAUAAAGCUAAACAAGCAGAGCAAAAGAAGUCGGCCAAAGAAAAAGCAGACUGGGCUUCAGGAAAACGUGCUUUAGAAUCUAUUGUCGCCAAGAUCGACCCAAAGGUCAUAGAAACUGGCUCAAUUGCAGGUGCUCUCCUGACAAUGUUUUCAGAAAAGAAACUUACCUAUCAAGUUGAGCGUAAUCCAAUGAGUGGAUCAAUUUUGUGGAAGAUGGUUUCUCCAAAUGAUCAGGAGCCAGCUUUGGAGCCAUAUAUCCUAUUUGUGCUCCAAGCUGAGGAAUUCUGUGAUCUUAUAAGCAGUGGAAAGUUCUUGGAUCAUGUUCUCAAAGCUCGAAGUCUCUAUCCAACAUUCACUAUUUGCUAUGUCACUCAUAAAUUGAUGAAAUACAUAUAUGAUAGAGAGCAAAGCCAGUAUAAGAAUUCCGACAGUUCUAAUAGAUGGAAACGUCCACCUGUGGAACAGGUUUUGUGCAAAUUAGUAACACACUACGAUAGAGUUCAUUCCAAGGAUUGCGCAGAUGAGGAUCAACUAGCAGAACACGUUGUUCGCUUGACUAGUCUUGCAAAAUGCAAAUUCAGGAAGCAAUUGUCAUGGUUAUCUGUGCAAGCUAAUGGUGUGAUAGUCCCAAAUGAUUUUGUGAAUAAAGAUCAGCUUAAGAAGGAUACUUGGUUUAUGUCUUUACUAGCUAUCCCCAAAGUCAAGCCAAGGCUUGCCCUGGCAAUCUGGAAGAAGUACCGUACCAUGAGAUCACUUCUGAGUGUAUACAUGGAUCCCAAUAAAAGUAAUCGCGAGAAGGAGCUUUUGCUUAAAGACCUGAAGUGUGAAGAUAACCUCGGCGAUGAAAGCAAAAAGGUGGGACCAGUAUACUCUAGGAGGGUGUACAGAAUGCUCAUGGCAGAAAAUGGGGCAAUGGAAGCAGAAGAAGCUGUGAAAUCCUAA